CGAAGGUUAACCAAUAACUGUAAUUAAUCAACAAUUAAGCUUUAAUCGAGCCAACCAGGAAUGUGAAUCCGUAAGCUAAUUUUAAUAAUCAGUACACGUCAAGAAAUGGAAUUUCUUUUUACUCUACAACACUCACAGGCACAGGUAAACAGCAAUGGUGCCUUGAAAGAUUCUACUCCUAAAAUCAUACAAGUGUAUACAUGACAAGAAAAUGGAAAAACUAAUUGAAAAUAAAAAAAGGCUUAAGGCAAUGGUUUUUCCGGCCACUCUCAGAAACCGCCUGCGGCCGUAGCAGCACUGUUUGCUAGCCAGGGGAGGCCAAAGUUCACUGGAAAGUGAUCGGUGAAGCUGUCUCCGGUGACCGGAUCGGCGAGUUCUUCCAAACCAGAGAAGAAAUCGUCACUUACAGCCAUAUCAGAGAACCCACCAAAAUCAUCUUCUUCUUCAUCUUCCAUUGCGUCUUUCUCUUCUCUGCUUUCUGUGUUUGUACUUUGGGGUAGAAGCUCGUCAUCCAAGGAAGUUGCAGGUGAUGAGCAAGUGGGUUUGGCUAGCGGCGAGGGUUUGUUAGAGUCACUGGCGGCAACGGUUUGUGGUGUGGUGGACUUCUGGCGGGUACUACCAGCGAGCGAGUUUCGGUGGGUGGGUGCAGGGUGGUUGUGCUCGCCUGUGUAGCUUACUAUGAACAUUCCCGGGUCGGAUCUGUUUCGUUCAACUUGUUUCCUGGCCAAACACCCCUUUGAGGUGCUACAUCUGUAAUAACUCCUCGGAUAUGGAGAGCCUUUGAUGGGUUUUUGCCCGUAUUUUCGCCAUGCCCACACAUCUGAAGAAAGAGACUCUGCUGGUACUUGGCAUAUCUUCUUUAGCUGGUUCUUCCUGUAGUUACAUACACACAUGAGCUUCUUUUUGAAUUUCUUGGGAGAUGUUUCUAAGAAAUUCGUUCAUUAAUCAUCUAGUUUAAAUAGAUUGAAAAAGAUUUACCUUCUUUUAGAUCGAGGAGUAUGAGAAUUUGCAGUGGAGACGGAGGCUGCAUGAGAUUGCUUGGGCUGCUUUAUCUGCGUUUGUUCCUUAGAGACGGCAAGAGAAGAAAUGGGGGCAGGUUGUGGUUGUGGAGAAUAAAGAUAUUGAUUAGAUUUGGGGAAAAAGGGCUUGUAAAGCUCAUCCAACUCCCCAAUAGCAUUUCUUGUCUCAAAGGGAUCGGGAAGAGAAAAAAGAGGACCAGGUUGUUCACUCUCAAAAGAACAAGUGGAAGAAAAGCAAAAAUCUUCUCUGGUAAGGGAACCGACGGAGUAGGUGGUGGUGGUGGUAGCAGCAGUGGUGGAGGAAGAAGAGGAGGCAGUGGUGCAACCUCUGACCACAGCGUGAAGAUCCCAGUCGUCGUCCAUGGCAAAAGGUAGCGUGAAGCUAAAAAGCUCUGUGAAUCAGUACCUUCCUUCUGCAACAAAUGUUGGAGAGAGAAGCCAAAAGAAGGCGCUGACUUUUUACAGAGAGAGAGAGAGAG
rnacentral:misc_RNA from 1 species